rnacentral:rRNA from 1 species
GGGCCCGCACAAGCGGUGGAGCAUGUGGUUUAAUUCGACGCAACGCGAAGAACCUUACCUGGUCUUGACAUCCUGCGAACUUUCUAGAGAUAGAUUGGUGCCUUCGGGAACGCAGUGACAGGUGCUGCAUGGCUGUCGUCAGCUCGUGUCGUGAGAUGUUGGGUUAAGUCCCGUAACGAGCGCAACCCUUGUCCUUAUUUGCCAUCAUUUAGUUGGGCACUCUAGGGAGACUGCCGGUAGCACAAAGCCAGGAGGAAGGGUGGGGACGACGUCAAGUCAUCAUGGCCCUUACGACCAGGGCUACACACGUGCUACAAUGGGGCGUACAAAGGGUUGCAAUCCCGCGAGGGGGAG